rnacentral:rRNA from 1 species
UCCAGUGACGAUGGCAAAGAGGCCACACCCGUUCCCAUCCCGAACACGGCAGUUAAGCUCUUUUGCGCCGAUGGUAGUUGGGGGUCUCCCCCUGUGA